GAUGAAGAACGUAGCGAAAUGCGAUACUUGGUGUGAAUUGCAGAAUCCCGUGAACCAUCGAGUCUUUGAACGCAAGUUGCGCCCGAAGCCAUUAGGCCGAGGGCACGCCUGCCUGGGCGUCACACGUCGUUGCCCCCCCAUCUACUCCUUCGGGAUUGCGGGGGGCGGAUGAUGGCCUCCCGUGCGCCUCGUCGCGCGGUUGGCCUAAAUGCCAAGUCCUCGGCGACGCACGCCACGACAAUCGGUGGUUGCGAAACCUCGGUUGCCUGUCGUGUGCGGUCGUCGCGCAUCGAGGGCUCGAAAAAAUUGCCGGGCUUCGGCUCGACUUUCAACGCGACCCCAGGUCAGGCGGGGUUACCCGCUGAAUUUAAGCAUAUCAGUAAGCGGAGGA
rnacentral:misc_RNA from 1 species